rnacentral:rRNA from 1 species
UACGGAGGGUGCAAGCGUUAUCCGGAUUCACUGGGUUUAAAGGGUGCGUAGGCGGGUAAGUAAGUCCGUGGUGAAAUCUCUGAGCUUAACUCAGAAACUGCCGUGGAUACUAUUUGCCUUGAAUAUUGUGGAGGUGAGCGGAAUAUGUCAUGUAGCGGUGAAAUGCUUAGAUAUGACAUAGAACACCAAUUGCGAAGGCAGCUCACUACUCAAUCAUUGACGCUGAGGCACGAAAGCGUGGGGAGCAAACAGG